rnacentral:lncRNA from 1 species
UGACAAUAAUUGUGCCCAUAUAAUGCCAUCAGUGAAUGUGUCCUUUGGAAAAUGAAGCCAAAUCAAGAGACCAUUGAGCCAAGAGAAAAGAGAUAAUUUGGAUGGCAUUGAUAGAUAGAACCUUUGGAUCAAGCACUGCCAGUUCCUAUCUUGACUUCCUCAAUUAUGCCAGCCAGUGUUCUAAAUCAGGAGCCAAAAGAAGUUGGAGCAGCUGGGGCCAAUUUUUACAUGUAAAACUAACAGAGCAAUUUGGCUGUCUGAUGCUGAACUGAAGAGUGACUUUCCUUUAACUUUGUCAUCACUACAGCAUCCAACCUGCCCUGUUCCAGAUGUGCAACAACUGGGCUUUGAAAGAGUGUGACUAGAAAAUCAAACAAGGCACGUGGACACACAAAGGAGAUAAGAGGCUCCAAGAGAUCACGUUCCUUUCUUGUGUAAUUUCUUUCAUCUAAUUCUGUCAACAUUUACUGGAAACCUCUAUCUGGAACACAGAUUACCUCAAGUAAUCUGCCUGCCUCAGCCUCCCAAAGAACUGGGACUGCAGGCAUGAGCCACCACGCCCAGACAAUUUAUAAUCCUAGUGAUCAUGUUAGAACAACAUCUGUUGUCAACCAAUCAUUGAGUAUUUGUUGAGGAUAUUCUUCGUGCUACAUUAAGUGAAUGCAGGCAGCAUAUCAAGUCUCUACCUUUUUCACAACCUAGUUUGGUGAGAUAAUGUUAGUAUAGAUUAAGCAAUUGUUACUAGUAAAAAUCAG